CUGCUUCACGGAGGCAUUCUUUUUUCCAAGCGGGAUCUCAGUGUUAGGAGAAACACCAAGAUGUGAUUAUCAUAUUCAGGAAGCUUUGGAGACGUCUUUUUAGGGUGAAGACAUCUAGUGAGGAACACAUUGGAGAGAAUAGUAACUAAUAUCUGAUUUUGGAACGGAGUCCAAACGGAAUAAAAUCCCC